UACGUAGGGUGCAAGCGUUGUCCGGAAUUAUUGGGCGUAAAGAGCUUGUAGGCGGUCUGUCGCGUCUGCUGUGAAAAUCCGGGGCUCAACCCCGGACUUGCAGUGGGUACGGGCAGACUAGAGUGUGGUAGGGGAGAUUGGAAUUCCUGGUGUAGCGGUGAAAUGCGCAGAUAUCAGGAGGAACACCGGUGGCGAAGGCGGGUCUCUGGGCCGAUACUGACGCUGAGGAGCGAAAGCGUGGGGGGCGAACAGG
rnacentral:rRNA from 1 species